UACGUAGGGGGCAAGCGUUGUCCGGAAUCAUUGGGCGUAAAGCGCGUGUAGGCGGCUAGGUAAGUCUGCUCUGAAAGUCGGGGGCUCAACCCUCGAAUGCCGGUGGAUACUGUCGGGCUAGAGUGCGGAAGAGGCGAGUGGAAUUCCUGGUGUAGCGGUGAAAUGCGCAGAUAUCAGGAGGAACACCUAUUGCGAAGGCAGCUCGCUGGGACGUAACUGACGCUGAGACGCGAAAGCGUGGGGAGCAAACAGG
rnacentral:rRNA from 1 species